GACGUACUUGGAAUGUAAUUGCAUCGUCUACAAGCCCUGUGAGUAUGCUAAUUCGAAGUUGAAGUUGCUGCAGAAACUAAUACUACAAAGCAGUCUGGCAGACAGCAGCUUCUUCAAAAGAAGAAACAUAACAGACAAUAUUUUGUAGAAAAGAAUGAUAACAUAAAUCAAAUAUGUUGGGAGAAAGUAAGCAGAUACAUCUCAAGGUGACAGGGAUUCAAGUAUUUUAAUGUGAAAACCAGUCACCAGUAAGGAAAAAAAAAA
rnacentral:misc_RNA from 1 species